rnacentral:rRNA from 1 species
GACGAACGCUGGCGGCGUGCCUAAUACAUGCAAGUAGAACGCAGUUGCGAACGGGUGAGUAACGCGUAGGUAACUGCCUCAUAGCGGGGGAUAACUAUUGGAAACGAUAGCUAAUACCGCAUACUGUGAGAUGGACCUGCGUUGUAUUAGGUAGUUGGUGAGGUAAAGGGUCACCAAGGCGACGAUACAUAGCCGACCUGAGAGGGUUAACCGGCACACCGGGAAUGGGGAAAGGCCCAGACGUCUACGGGGGGGAGGAGUUGGGAAACUUCGGAAAUUGACGGAAGGCUGGACGAAGAAAGCCGGGGGAGUGAAAGAAGUUUUCGGAUCGGAAAACUCUGUUGUUAGAGAAGCGGUAACUAACCAGAAAGCGACGGCUAACUACGUGCCAGCAGCCGCGGUAAUUC